GAGCUAUGGUACUGCACUGCUGCUUCACCGGAACUACCCUCCAUUCCCUCAAACUUGCUGCAAUUCCUUACUUCUCCAGAACCCUAACCUCUCGUCUAACGCCUUACUAUCCAAGGCCUCUGUUCCCUCUUGCCGUUAGAUCCCUUUCUGCCGCCGCCGUCGUCCAAACUGCCGCCACCUCCACAGACGAGUAUCAAGUAGUGAAGCCUCAAUGGAAAGCUGCAAUUGAUUUCAAGUGGAUAAGAGAUAAUAAGGAUUCAGUUGCGGUUAAUAUUAAGAAUAGGAACUCCAAUGCCAAUCUGGAGCUUGUUCUUCAGCUCUACGAGAAGUUGCU
rnacentral:misc_RNA from 1 species